rnacentral:rRNA from 1 species
CACGUAGGGGGCGAGCGUUGUCCGGAUUUAUUGGGCGUAAAGAGCUCGUAGGCGGUUUCGUAAGUCGGGUGUGAAAACUCUAGGCUCAACCUGGAGACGCCACUCGAGACUGCGAUGACUAGAGUCCGGUAGGGGAGUGUGGAAUUCCUGGUGUAGCGGUGAAAUGCGCAGAUAUCAGGAGGAACACCAACGGCGAAGGCAGCACUCUGGGCCGGUACUGACGCUGAGGAGCGAAAGCGUGGGGAGCGAACAGG